rnacentral:rRNA from 1 species
UGGGGAAUAUUGCACAAUGGGGGAAACCCUGAUGCAGCGACGCCGCGUGAAGGAUGAAGUAUUUCGGUAUGUAAACUUCUAUCAGCAGGGAAGAAAAUGACGGUACCUGACUAAGAAGCCCCGGCUAACUACGUGCCAGCAGCCGCGGUAAUACGUAGGGGGCAAGCGUUAUCCGGAUUUACUGGGUGUAAAGGGAGCGUAGACGGUCUUGUAAGUCUGAUGUGAAAACCCGGGGCUCAACCCCGGGACUGCAUUGGAAACUAUAGGACUAGAGUGUCGGAGAGGCAAGUGGAAUUCCUAGUGUAGCGGUGAAAUGCGUAGAUAUUAGGAGGAACACCAGUGGCGAAGGCGGCUUGCUGGACGAUGACUGACGUUGAGGCUCGAAAGCGUGGGGAGCAAACAGG